CGAGUGAAGAAGAAAGAGAAACUUCACAGUGUUUGAGAUAGAUGCAUUGAUGUUUUUACUGCUUUUCAUAUAUGACUGAUUAUCUUUAAUCUUUACUUAUUGAAUAAAUCUUAAGUAGGAUUAUUUGACUCACUGAAUAGCAGCAGACCUUUAUUUUCUCUUACUGUUAAAAGACCAAAGAAUCCUCUCCUCAGAAUUAAAAAUGGCUGAAAUUAAUAAACGGAUAUCUAAUUGGAAGAAACUACUGAAGAGACCUCUGACAUCAAACUCUUGUUUUGGAUUAAUCAUCUUUGGUUUGGAGAAGAUCGUGCAGUUUGGAUUUUUAUGUCCUUGCAGUGAAUUAAGUCCAUUGAUUGUUUCAUCAUUUUUUGUUGUUCCUGCAUUGAUAGCCUUCAUGCUUAUGUUUUACAUUCAAAUAAGCAUGUUCCAUCAACCCAUACUCAAUGCUAUCUUGUACAGUUUUAUUCCUAGCGCAUUUUGGGUCAUUUUGAUGUUAAUUGAUGGUCGAUACCUUGGCUGUAUAAAAGGACCCUCAUCAGGAAAGUAUGAAGUUCUUGACAACCCUUCAUUUCAGAGAUGGUGUAAUCCAAACUCAACUCAAGACUCAGUGAUCGACACACAGAACUGGUACUCUAAUUCUCAGGGCAUAGCAAUGGUGGUGGCAUUCGUAUUGGCUAGUCUUUAUUUUGUCAUCCUGCUCGUCAUCUACUGCCGCUGUAAUAAGAAUACAACAGAGACCACCACCAAAGAUUCUACCAAAGCUGGAAAAGAUUCUGCCGAAGCUGGACAAUCUGAGGAGCUGAUCGAAGAGAAACCUCGUGAUAGACAAUGAUACACAGGAAAUCUUGGCUAAAGUUGGGGGUAAACUUUAUUUUGGAAUACAGGUCUUGCCAGACAGGAAUGAGUCUAAUUAUGAGCUGAGUAGUUUCAGGAAAUCUUAUCUUGAUCCACUCCAAUAGACUGUUUCCGCCCCCUAAGCAGUGCAGUAAAACUUCUGUUUAAAUAAAUGUGUUUUAUACAAGUGUAAUGAUGUGAAAACAAUGAUAUGAUUUAAGCUACAGUAUGCACUGAAAUACUUACCAUACUAUUUGUGAAAGUAUCACAUUCAUUGCUGUGUGUAUAAGUGUAAACAAAGCUUAAAUAAUCUUUAACUGUAUGUUUGUGUGUCUGAUAUAUUUUUUUUUUUACAAUGGGAACUAUAAUUUCUUAAACUUAGUAUUAAUUAGCACACCUAUCUAAAAGUAGAACUUGAUUUUGUAUAUAAUUUCAGAUUGUAAAAAUACAUUUAUCUUGAUUUUCAUAUGUUAUACUGCUUGUGGUGAACAGUUUCUAUUUAGUUAAAUUUAUAUUUGUGUAUUGUGUGUGUACACUCAAAAAUAAAGUACCUAACUGUA